UCUGGCAAGGACGGCUUGGUGUGCACGC
rnacentral:piRNA from 1 species